rnacentral:rRNA from 1 species
UACAGAGGUCUCAAGCGUUUGUUCGGAUUCAUUGGGCGUAAAGGGUGCGUAGGUGGCGCGGUAAGUCGGGUGUGAAAUCUCGGAGCUUAACUCCGAAAUUGCAUUCGAUACUGCCGUGCUCGAGGACUGGAGAGGAGACUGGAAUUCAUGGUGUAGCAGUGAAAUGCGUAGAGAUCAUGAGGAAGACCAGUGGCGAAGGCGGGUCUCUGGACAGUUCCUGACGCUGGAGGCACGAAGGCCAGGGGAGCAAAACGGG